UACGAAGGGGGCGAGCGUUGUUCGGAUUUACUGGGCGUAAAGGGCGCGCAGGCGGUCUUGAAAGUCAGGCGUGAAAGCCCCGGGCUUAACCUGGGAAUUGCGCUUGAUACUCUGAGACUGGAGUACGGGAGAGGAGAGUGGAAUUCCCAGUGUAGAGGUGAAAUUCGUAGAUAUUGGGAAGAACACCAGUGGCGAAGGCGGCUCCCUGGACCGUAACUGACGCUGAGGCGCGAAAGCGUGGGGAGCAAACAGG
rnacentral:rRNA from 1 species